rnacentral:rRNA from 1 species
AAUAGAUACCCUGGUAGUCCACGCCGUAAACGUUGGGCGCUAGAUGUGGGGACCAUUCCACGGUUUCCGUGUCGCAGCUAACGCAUUAAGCGCCCCGCCUGGGGAGUACGGCCGCAAGGCUAAAACUCAAAGGAAUUGACGGGGGCCCGCACAAGCGGCGGAGCAUGCGGAUUAAUUCGAUGCAACGCGAAGAACCUUACCAAGGCUUGACAUAUACGAGAACGCUCUAGAAAUAGAGAACUCUUUGGACACUCGUAUACAGGUGGUGCAUGGUUGUCGUCAGCUCGUGUCGUGAGAUGUUGGGUUAAGUCCCGCAACGAGCGCAACCCUCGUUCUAUGUUGCCAGCGGUUCGGCCGGGAACUCAUAGGAGACUGCCGGGGUCAACUCGGAGGAAGGUGGGGAUGACGUCAAAUCAUCAUGCCCCUUAUGUCUUGGGUCUUCACGCAUGCUACAAUGGCCGGUACGAAAGGGCUGCAAUACCGUAAGGUGGAGCGAAUACCCAAAAAGCCGGUCUCAGUUCGGAUUGAGGUCUGCAACUCGA